CGAGCCUGAUGCAGCCAUGCCGCGUGUGUGAAGAAGGCCUUCGGGUUGUAAAGCACUUUCAGCGGGGAGGAAGGCGAUACGGUUAAUAACCGUGUUGAUUGACGUUACCCGCAGAAGAAGCACCGGCUAACUCCGUGCCAGCAGCCGCGGUAAUA
rnacentral:rRNA from 1 species